GCCGGCAGCUAGCUCUCUGCAACUCUCAAAGGGUCGCCCACUGAAGCUAAACUGGGUUGCGCCCGGUCAGUAUCUGGAUGGGAGAACACAUGGGAAAGCUAGGUUGCUGCUGGAA
rnacentral:rRNA from 1 species